rfam:Acinetobacter sp. SFC ERR473936.12448_4_84.1, whole genome shotgun sequence.
CACGGCAGUCAAUUGAGUGAUUGAUUGAUUCCUAUCAUAUGUAAUUUUUUAAGCAUCUCGGAGAAAUCGAAUGGCUUUAACAAACGCAGAUCGCGCAGAGAUCGUUGCUAAAUAUGCUCGCGCUGAA